rnacentral:rRNA from 1 species
GCGUGUAUUACGCAUGCAAGUCGAACGCGAAAGAGGGAGCAAUCCCUCGAGUAGAGUGGCCAACGGGUGAGUAACGCGUGAUAAACCUGCCUUCAACAGGGGGAUAACACUCCUAACGGGGUGCUAAUACCGCAUGACACCACGGGGCUGCAUGGCCCUGAGGUCAAAGGUGGCCUCUACUUGUAAGCUACCGGUUGAAGAUGGUCUCGCGUCCCAUUAUCUAGUUGGCGGGGUAACGGCCCACCAAGGCGACGAUGGGUAGCUGGUCUGAGAGGAUGGUCAGCCACACUGGGACUGAGAUACGGCCCAGACUCCUACGGGAGGCAGCAGUCGAGAGGCUUCGGCAAUGGGGGAAACCCUGACCGAGCGACGCCGCGUGCAGGAUGAAGGCCCUUGGGUUGUAAACUGCUUUUAUCGGGGAAGAAAUGUGAUCAGGUGAACAAUCUGGUCGCUUGACGGUACCCGAUGAAUAAGCUCCGGCUAACUCCGUGCCAGCAGCCGCGGUAACACGGGGGGAGCAAGCGUUGUUCGGAAUCACUGGGCGUAAAGGGCGUGUAGGCGGUCAAGUAAGUGGAAUGUGAAAGCCCCCGGCUCACCCGGGGAUCGGCAUCCCAAACUGCUUGGCUUGAGUACGGGAGAGGAUAGGGGAAUUCCUGGUGUAGCGGUGAAAUGCGUAGAUAUCAGGAGGAACACCGGUGGCGAAGGCGCCUAUCUGGCCCGAUACUGACGCUGAGGCGCGAAAGCUAGGGGAGCAAACGGGAUUAGAUACCCCGGUAGUCCUAGCCGUAAACGGUGAUCACUAGGUGUUGGAGGCGACCCCUCCAGUGCCGCAGCUAACGCAUUAAGUGAUCCGCCUGGGG